GGGCUGCAGUAUUUUGACUGUACAAAGGUAGCAUAAUCAAUAGUCUCUUAAUUGGUGACUUGUAUGAAAGAUUGGAUGAGAUAUAGACUGUCUCUAGUUAAUUUAUAGAAAUUAAUUUUUUAGUUAAAAAGCUAAAAUAAUUUUAAAAGACGAGAAGACCCUAUAGAGUUUAAUAAUUUAUUUAAUUAUAUUAUUUUAUAAAUUUUAAAAAUUAAAAUUAAAUGAAUUAUUUUGUUGGGGUGAUAAAAAAAUUAAAUUAACUUUUUUUGAUUAUUAACAUUAAUUUAUGAUUUAAUGAUCCAUUAAUAGUGAUUAAAAGAAAAAAUUACCUUAGGGAUAACAGCGUAAUUUUUUUUUUUAGUUCAAAUAGGAAAAAAAGUUUGCGACCUCGAUGUUGGAUUAA
rnacentral:rRNA from 1 species